UACGUAGGGCGCGAGCGUUGUCCGGAUUUAUUGGGCGUAAAGGGCUCGUAGGCGGUUUGUCGCGUCGGGAGUGAAAACACCGGGCUUAACUCGGUGCUUGCUUUCGAUACGGGCAGACUGGAGGUAUGCAGGGGAGAACGGAAUUCCUGGUGUAGCGGUGAAAUGCGCAGAUAUCAGGAGGAACACCGGUGGCGAAGGCGGUUCUCUGGGCAUUACCUGACGCUGAGGAGCGAAAGUGUGGGGAGCGAACAGG
rnacentral:rRNA from 1 species